GUCGAACGCUAUUUAUAGAGUGGCGCACGGGUGAGUAACGCGUGGGAACCUGCCUUUUUCUGCGGGAUAACGGUUGGAAACGAUCGCUAAUACCGCAUACGCCCUACGGGGGAAAGGUCCGCCGGAAAAAGAGGGGCCCGCGUCUGAUUAGCUUGUUGGUAGGGUAAUGGCCUACCAAGGCGACGAUCAGUAGCUGGUCUGAGAGGAUGAUCAGCCACACUGGGACUGAGACACGGCCCAGACUCCUACGGGAGGCAGCAGUGGGGAAUAUUGGACAAUGGGGGCAACCCUGAUCCAGCAAUGCCGCGUGUGUGAUGAAGGCCUUAGGGUUGUAAAGCACUUUCACUGGUGAAGAUGAUGACGGUAACCAGAGAAGAAGCCCCGGCUAACUUCGUGCCAGCAGCCGCGGUAAUACGAAGGGGGCGAGCGUUGUUCGGAAUUACUGGGCGUAAAGGGCGCGUAGGCGGUCUUUUAAGUUAGGCGUGAAAGCCCCGGGCUCAACCCGGGAACUGCGCUUAAUACUGGAAGACUAGAAAACGGAAGAGGGUAGUGGAAUUUCCAGUGUAUAGGUGAAAUUCGUAGAUAUUGGGAAUAACACCAGUGGCGAAAGCGGC
rnacentral:rRNA from 1 species